UUCAGGCCAACAUCGGUUCGAGUGGUUGGAUAAAGGCCUUGGGAAUGUGGCUCUCUCCGGGGAGUGUUAUAGCCCAAGGUGCCAUGCAGCCCACCUGGACCGAGGACCGCGCUCCGGCUAGGAUGCUGGCGUAAUGGUUGUAAGCG
rnacentral:rRNA from 1 species